UACGUAGGGUGCGAGCGUUGUCCGGAAUUAUUGGGCGUAAAGGGCUCGUAGGCGGUUUGUCACGUCAGGAGUGAAAACUCGGGGCUCAACCCCGAGCCUGCUUCUGAUACGGGCAGACUAGAGGUAUGCAGGGGAGAACGGAAUUCCUGGUGUAGCGGUGAAAUGCGCAGAUAUCAGAAGGAACGCCGGCGGCGAAAGCGGCGCACUGGAUCUCUACUGACGCUGAGGCGCGAAAGCCAGGGGAGCAAACGGG
rnacentral:rRNA from 1 species